rnacentral:rRNA from 1 species
AACGAACGCUGGCGGCAGGCCUAACACAUGCAAGUCGAGCGAAGCCUUCGGGCUUAGCGGCGGACGGGUGAGUAACGCGUGGGAACGUGCCCUUUGGUACGGAAUAGCCCCGGGAAACUGGGAGUAAUACCGUAUGUGGUCGAGAGACGAAAGAUUUAUCGCCAAAGGAUCGGCCCGCGUUGGAUUAGGUAGUUGGUGGGGUAAUGGCCUACCAAGCCGACGAUCCAUAGCUGGUUUGAGAGGAUGAUCAGCCACACUUGGACUUAGACACGGCCCAGACUCCUACGGGAGGCAGCAGUGGGGAAUCUUAGACAAUGGGGGAAACCCUGAUCUAGCCAUGCCGCGUGAUCGAUGAAGGCCUUAGGGUUGUAAAGAUCUUUCAGUGGGGAAGAUAAUGACUGUACCCACAGAAGAAGCCCCGGCUAACUCCGUGCCAGCAGCCGCGGUAACAC